rnacentral:rRNA from 1 species
GACGAACGCUGGCGGCGUGCUUAACACAUGCAAGUCGAACGAAGUGGCGAACGGGUGAGUAACGCGUAAUCAACCUGCCCUUCAGAGGGGGACAACAGUUGGAAACGACUGCUAAUACCGCAUACUGAAGGAGGGGAUUGCGUCUGAUUAGCUAGUUGGGGGGGUAACGGCCCACCAAGGCGAUGAUCAGUAGCCGGUCUGAGAGGAGGAACGGCCACAGUGGGACUGAGACACGGCCCAGACUUCGACGGGAGGCAGCAGGGGGGAAUCUUCCGCAAUUGACGAAAGUCUGACGGAGCAACGCCGCGGGAGUGAUGACGGCCUUCGGGUUGUAAAGCUCUUUUAAUCGGGACGCGGUACCGGAAUAGAAAGCCACGGCUAACUACGUGCCAGCCGCCGCGGUAAUUC